GACGAACGCUGGCGGCGUGCCUAACACAUGCAAGUCGAACGGAAAGGCCCUGCUCUUGCGGGGUGCUUGUGUGGCGAACGGGUGAGUAACACGCGAGUAUCCCGUCCCUGACUUUGGGAUAUAUCUACGAAACACGGGCUAAUACCGCAUAGGAUCUCUUGCACCACGGUGGGGGUUGGUAAGAUUCGGUGGUUGGGGAUGGUCUCGAUGCUUCUCAGCUUGUUUGGGGAGUAGUGAUUGACCAAGGUUUUGACGGGUAGGCGACAUUGGAGGGUGGCCGGGGACAUUAGGACUAAGAUACGGCGCAGACUCCUACGGGAGGCAGCAGUGGAGAAUAUGGCAGAAUGGGCGGGAGCCUGUGGCGGCAGCGCCGCGUGCGGGAUGACGGCCUUCGGGUUAUGAACCGCUUUCGCCUGUGACGAAGCGUGAGUGACGGUAAUGGGUAAGGAAGCACCGGCUAACUACGUG
rnacentral:rRNA from 1 species